GACGAACGCUGGCGGCGUGCCUAACACAUGCAAGUCGAACGGAAAGGCCCUGCUUUGGUGGGGUGCUCGAGGGGCGAACGGGGGAGUAACACGUGAGUAACCUGCCCUUGACUUUGGGAUAACUUCAGGAAAGUGGGGCUAAUAGCGGAUAGGAGCUCCCGCUGCAGGGUGGGGGUUGGAAAGUUUCGGCGGUUGGGGAUGGACUAGCGGCUUAUCAGCUUGUUGGUGGGGUAGUGGCUUACCAAGGCUUUGACGGGUAGCCGGCCUGAGAGGGUGGCCGGCCACAUUAGGACUGGGCUACGGCCCAGACUCCUACGGGAGGCAGCGGUGGGGAAUAUUGCACAGUGGGCGGGAGCCUGAUGCAGCAACGCCGCGUGCGGGAUGACGGCCUUCGGGUUGUGAACCGCUUUCGCCUGUGACGAAGCGUGAGUGACGGUAAUGGGUGAAGAAGCACCGGCUAACUACGUG
rnacentral:rRNA from 1 species